rnacentral:piRNA from 1 species
UAAUCAUCAAGGCAGGAUGCUUCCCAUU